GGAGUUGGUCAGGCAGCCGCUGCCGGUUCCACGUGACCGGGAGAGGAAAGUCCGGGCUCCACAGGGCAGGAUGCCGGCUAACAGCCGGGCGCUACAGGUCUUCCCGAAAGGCCCAAGGCGACGGAAAGCGCAACAGAGAACAAACCGCCGAUGGCUCCGGUCUUUUUGGAGAUCAGGCAAGGGUGAAACGGCGGGGUAAGAGCCCACCGCGGGACUGGUGACAGGACCGGCAUGGCAAGCCCCAUCCGGAGCAAGACCAAAUAGGGAAGCGACAGGUGUGGCCCGCGCCGCUUCCGGGUAGGUCGCUUGAGCCACGCAGCAAUGCGUGGCCUAGAGGAAUGGCUGCCAGGGAAUCUCGAUUCCUUACAGAACCCGGCUUAUCGACCGGCUCCCACU
rnacentral:RNase_P_RNA from 1 species